AGGAAGUGCAGUGGUAGACUGAAAUGUUUUCUAUUGAAGAGAGGGGAGAACUUCGGCCUGGUAACAACUACAACAGAUGAUGGAGCUGUAUUGGUCACCCCUCUGAAGAAUUCCGCUAAGGACGAAACGCGUCAGGGUGGAAGAGAGAAUAUAUACCCUUCAUUUUAUCAUCUGACACUCAUCAAUGUUAUGUGUUUGUGAAAGGGUCAUCUCUUUUAGCAAUAUGUGCUUUUAAUAAAUUGUUAUUAUUUAUUCAU